rnacentral:tRNA from 1 species
GCGACACUAGCUCAGUUGGUAGAGCGCAGCCUUGCCAAGGUUGAGGUCACGAGUUCGAACCUCGUGUGUCGCUCCA